UAAAAGAGAACCAACACAAUAAUAUAUUGAGUUAGUAGUUAUAGUUUGAUUACAACUCCACUUCUUAUCCGUAGUCCAUUUAAGUCCUUAGCCAAUACAAACUCUAACUCUUAUCUUAACUUAGGAUCAAGUUCUCUUCACAUAAGGUGAUUGUCCUCCUUAUCCCAAAUGCAACCUUUUUUAUUAUGUUCAGAAGAUAUUGACGCGUGAUCUUUAGUGCAUAUCAUCCUCACGAGCUUCACAUGUGCACUGGUUGAUUCAGACUUUGUAAUACAAGAUGGACCAGGUCCUUCCAUAAGUUCAUUUGUCAAUCUUCAAAACUCCAACUGAAAUGUGGUUAAACAACUAUGCAUUCAAAUUAAUGACAAGAUUUGCGAGGGCCAUGAAAAUUUUAUCUAAUUGCCCUGCUUAAUUCAGACUGUGUUGUACAAGAUGGAACAGGUCCUUCCAUAGGUUCAUUUAUCAAUCUUUAAAACUCUAACUGAAACUUGGGUCAACAAAGGAGCAAAGGGAGAAAAUCACGUGCAAAAUUUUAGUUCUCAAGGAAAGGCAUGUUUUCAUCUCCCACCAAGGCACGAGUAGAAACAGCCACAAACCGAGCAUACCAGCGUCAGUCAUGAUCAUCUUCAGGACUAACUAGGACUCAUUUUCUUAUCGCUGCAAUUUUAAAAACACCCUCUCGAAUUUUUUUUGGAGAAUAU
rnacentral:lncRNA from 1 species